CCUACGGGCGGCUGCAGCGGGGAAUAUUGCACAAUGGGCGCAAGCCUGAUGCAGCCAUGCCGCGUGUGUGAAGAAGGCCUUCGGGUUGUAAAGCACUUUCAGCGGGGAGGAAGGCGUUAAGGUUAAUAACCUUGGCGAUUGACGUUACCCGCAGAAGAAGCACCGGCUAACUCCGUGCCAGCAGCCGCGGUAAUACGGAGGGUGCAAGCGUUAAUCGGAAUUACUGGGCGUAAAGCGCACGCAGGCGGUCUGUCAAGUCGGAUGUGAAAUCCCCGGGCUCAACCUGGGAACUGCAUUCGAAACUGGCAGGCUAGAGUCUUGUAGAGGGGGGUAGAAUUCCAGGUGUAGCGGUGAAAUGCGUAGAGAUCUGGAGGAAUACCGGUGGCGAAGGCGGCCCCCUGGACAAAGACUGACGCUCAGGUGCGAAAGCGUGGGGAGCAAACAGGAUUAGAUACCCGAGUAGUC
rnacentral:rRNA from 1 species